AACGAACGCUGGCGGCAUGCCUAACACAUGCAAGUCGAACGAGACCUUCGGGUCUAGUGGCGCACGGGUGCGUAACGCGUGGGAACCUGCCUUUAGGUUCGGAAUAACUCAGAGAAAUUUGAGCUAAUACCGGAUGAUGUCUUCGGACCAAAGAUUUAUCGCCUUUAGAUGGGCCCGCGUUGGAUUAGCUAGUUGGUGGGGUAAAGGCCUACCAAGGCGACGAUCCAUAGCUGGUCUGAGAGGAUGAUCAGCCACACUGGGACUGAGACACGGCCCAGACUCGUACGGGAGGGAGCAGUGGGGAAUAUUGGACAAUGGGCGAAAGACUGAUCCAGCAAUGCCGCGUGAGUGAUGAAGGCCUUAGGGUUGUAAAGCUCUUUUACCCGAGAUGAUAAUGACAGUAUCGGGAGAAUAAGCACCGGCUAACUCCGUG
rnacentral:rRNA from 1 species